GACGGAGGAUGCAAGCGUUAUCCGGAAUGAUUGGGCGUAAAGCGUCCGCAGGUGGCAGUUCAAGUCUGCUGUCAAAGACCGGGGCUUAACUUCGGAAAGGCAGUGGAAACUGAACAGCUAGAGUAUGGUAGGGGCAGAGGGAACUCCUGGUGUAGCGGUGAAAUGCGUAGAUAUCAGGAGGAACACCGGUGGCGAAGGCGCACAUCUGGCCCAAUACUGACGCUGAGGCGCGAAAGCUAGGGGAGCAAACGG
rnacentral:rRNA from 1 species